UUGGAGGGCAAGUCUGGUGCCAGCAGCCGCGGUAAUUCCAGCUCCAAUAGCGUAUAUUAAAGUUGUUGCAGUUAAAAAGCUCGUAGUUGAAUUUCGGGGUCAUCAGGUUGGUCGUGCCAAUGGUAUGCACUGGCCUUGGUGAUCCCUCCUUCUUGAAGAACCGUGAUGCCAUUAAUUUGGUGCUGCGGGGAAACAGGACUGUUACUUUGAAAAAAUUAGAGUGUUUAAAGCAAGCUAACGCUUGAAUACAUUAGCAUGGAAUAAUAGAAUAGGACGCUCGAUCCUAUUUUGUUGGUUUCUAGGGUUGACGUAAUGAUUAAUAGGGAUAGUUGGGGGCAUUAGUAUUCAAUUGUCAGAGGUGAAAUUCUUGGAUUUAUUGAAGACUAACUACUGCGAAAGCAUUUGCCAAGGAUGUUUUCAUUAAUCAAGAACGAAAGUUAGGGGAUCGAAGACGAUCAGAUACCGUCGUAGUCUUAACCAUAAACUAUGCCGACUAGGGAUCGGAUGAUGUUAAUUUUUUAAUGACUCAUUCGGCGCCUUACGGGAAAC
rnacentral:rRNA from 1 species